CAAACAGAUUAUCCCGAAAAUUGGGGUUUUGGGGGGCGGCGCGGCGACGGACCAACGAUUCAGCGGCGAUUGUGUGGCUGGCGGCGGUACAGAGAUAGCAGUUCGUUCCUUCCUCCAGUGAUGACUCCUCCCCUUCCUCCAGCGAUGGAUCCUCUCUCAACAGCAUGUGUUCCUGAAGCAGAAGUAAUCGAUCUAGAGUCGGCUGAAUGCAGGAGCGGGGCAACAAUGGCAAAAUCGAUGGGCCAUAGCAGUGGAUUUCAUCCAAAGCAGCAGGGUCACAGGAAAAUUAGUUUGUCACCACAGUCCAAGAGGCUUUUCCAUAGUGGUUUACAUACUGGACCUUGUUACGAAGAAGUAUAUACUGCACUUUUACAUAGAGAGGCUUUGAAGGUUUCUGGCACAAGGGGCAGCCUAAAUAAGACUGUUGCACGGGUGGUAUCCAGGUGUCAGCCCAAAUGCGUAGUGAAUAUCAUUAAAGAAUUCGAUGAUAGGAAGAAGGAGUUGAUUGGUGAAGUUGGGUUUGAUGGACUUUUGGAUAUCAAGCUUACUAAGGUAAACAGGCAGUUUGGUGCAUGGCUACUGAGCAAAGUUGAUCCGAAAUCAUGCGCUAUUGUUAAAGAUGUCAACCAGGAGUUGCCAUUCGGUCCUAAUGAUAUGAAUGCAGUUUUUGGCUUGCCAUGCUCAGGUCAACCUAUUAUCCCUUGCUCUCAAGAUGAAUUGGAUGGGAAGAAACAAAUAUUGUGCGAAAUAUUUGAGAUACCAAACUUUUCACACCUGAAAAUAUCACUCUUAGAGAGAAUCCUAAAGAAGCAGUAUGGUUAUCCCAUGACAAUAGAUGAAAAGAGGGUUUUCAUGGCGGCUUUUGUGCUUUAUGUCACAACGAAGCUUUUGGCACCGCAAUCCUGCGCAAACUUCAUAUCUCCUAGGUAUAUUAUGGCUGUUUCUGAUGUUGACAAUAUAACACAGUACAACUGGUCCCAAUUCGUUGUAGAUGAGGUGAAGAAAGCAGCAGAAUCAAUGCCCACCUGCUUUCCGAAUAAGGCUCAACUAUCCAUUAACGGGUGUAUCAUCUUUCUAAUGGUAAAAUAUUUGAGAAAUCUCCAGUUCCGGAAGGUUGGGAUCACAUGUGUUAAAACAUGUCACAUUUCUCUGUUUGAGGAUGAUCAAAUUGCUAGGAUGAUUCAACAAGAUGUAGUUAGUAAACAUAACCCAGGAUUCCCCUUCCCUCGUUAUGGGAAACUCCAGUUGAUGAAGGAACCAAGAGAAAACAACCCCCAUGUGCCAGAGCUAUCUCCCCUAAACUUAUGCUCCGGUUCGAAGAUCCCAUCUAGAGCCAUUGAUGGCGGUAAAAAUUUAAUAAAAUUCCUGGAAUCACACUUCUCUUCGUUAGACGUACGUGGAACUGUCGGGUCACAGGCAUACGAGGAGUUGAAAUCUUACGUUCAGGAUGGAUUCGACCGCAUCGAUGAGAUUUUGCCUACCAUAUCAGAUUUCGUCGACAUAAGCACCAUGCAAACUGCUAUUCACGCAUCUAACCUAUUCAAGAGAGCUUUCAAGACUAAUAUUACAGCGGCAGUUAAGAUAGCGAUAAGGGCAGCAGUAACGAAAGUUAUUGAUACCAUUGAGGAUAUACAAGGGCCUCUCCAUCCAUGGGGAGACAAAACUGCCAUGGGAUACCACACACCCACAAACUACUCCACACAUGCUACAAAAGAUGCUAGUCAAUUGGAUCAACCAACAGAUACCCAACAAUAUGAUCACAAAAUUGGAGGCUUGCAGUGUACUCCUCCAAAAUCUAAUGGAGCUACAGAAUUCGGUAGCGACGGGCAGAAGAAGCGCAAAUACACUGUUGAAAACCCACCAUCUCACUUGCUGAAGCACAAGUCAAAGCGUGUAGUCAAACCAAACAGGAAGCUCAUGUCACCUUUCAUGUCAAAGCAAUGCUCAACGGAGAGGCUGGAAUCCAGGAUUGCUGACGACCUAUAUUCCUAUAUAAUGUCUAUUUCUGAUGAUGCAUCAUUAGAAAAAACAUGGCUGCAGAGCUCCCAUCCUUUCAAAAUAUCAUUGACGCUACGAAACAUCCAAGAAACUAUAAAGAUUGGGAGCCAAAUGGAUUCAGAUUCUCUCAACCUUGCAAUUCGAAUAAUGUUCCAACAAGAAGUUGAGAGAUUUCACAACACAAACUACCUUGGUUGGAGGCAUUUCAUUAACCAAGAUUUUGGGAUGUACGCGCUAGCUGGUGAGGAAUUUUGGGAAGCUAGCCAUCAACUUGCACACUUCUCGGGCCCAGAGGUAGUAUAUGAUGUUUCAGAAAGCCACCUGAUACUGAUUCCUGUUCACCUAUUCAAUCAUUACGUGCUGUACGUAUUUAACAUGGAGAGCAAGAAGUUAUCGGUGCUUGAUUCACUAAACACAGAAGAUCCACUCGGGGAAUCACGUUUCACCAGGCAUGACAAGAUAAAGAUCAUGGUGUCACAGUGUGUAAUGGAAUGCAUGCGUCUUGCAUCUCCAGGGUGGAACAUGGACAUACUUAAUUGGGACUUUGAGACAGUUGAAAAUAUACCAGAGCAGCAGAACGGGGAUGACUGUGGCUUUUACGUAUUCAACUUUAUGGUGAACUACGAUGGUCGUCGUCUUCUUAACCCUAUUACAGAGGACCCGUACUACCUCCGGAGGCAAUUUUUGAUCCACCUUUUGACUCUGCGUGAUAACGAGGCAAUACUACCAGAAUAUGUGGUGGACCGUCUUCGACAAAUUAAAGACAAUUAG
rnacentral:lncRNA from 1 species